rnacentral:rRNA from 1 species
GCCCCUGACCAAAUCAUCCGGAACGCGCCCCAGUCUCAUCACGUCUCGGAAGCUGAGCAGGGUUGAGCCUGGAUUGUUUCAUGGGUCGGCGACCACCGUUGCAUGCAACAUGUGCUAUAGGCAACAGGGGCC